ensembl:snoRNA
CCAAUACAAUGAUGAUAACAUAGUUCAGCGGAUUUGACACUGAUGAGCAAUAAGAAGUCUUUCAUUCCUAUCUAAUGUAUCUG